rnacentral:tRNA from 1 species
GGAGGGAUGACCGAGCGGCCGAAGGUGCAUGUCUUGAAAACAUGUGUGGGUUAACGCCCACCGUGGGUUCGAAUCCCACUCCCUCCGCCA